CGAAAGCCUGACGGAGCAAGACCGCGUGGGGGAGGAAGGCUCUAGGGUUGUAAACCCCUUUUCUUUGGGAAGAACAAAAUGACGGUACCAAAGGAAUCAGCAUCGGCUAACUCCGUGCCAGCAGCCGCGGUAAUACGGAGGAUGCAAGCGUUAUCCGGAAUUAUUGGGCGUAAAGCGUCCGCAGGUGGCUUGUCAAGUCUGCUGUCAAAGACUGGGGCUUAACUCCGGGCAGGCAGUGGAAACUGAAUAGCUAGAGUGCGGUAGGGGCAGAGGGAAUUCCCGGUGUAGCGGUGAAAUGCGUAGAGGUCGGGAAGAACACCGGUGGCGAAAGCGCUCUGCUGGGCCGCAACUGACACUGAGGGACGAAAGCUAGGGGAGCG
rnacentral:rRNA from 1 species